rnacentral:lncRNA from 1 species
ACAAAUUAAGUGAUUAGAUUACCUACUUAAUGGUUAACUAAUUACUCAAAAAAAACAAUAAGUCUUUCUAACCUCUAAAAUCACCCAACUAAAUGUGGGCUAAAAGUAUUUAAUUUCAAAAGAUUUUUCAUGUUCUGUCUAGGAUGCAGAUUUGCUAAUCAAUUUCAUCAAACCUAAACAUGAAUGUGAAAGAAUCCACAGCUAUUUGAAUUACUUCAACUAAUAACAGCACUGUUGAAUGUUGAUUAGAAGAUUCCGGAAUUUGAAUUAUACUAGUAUAAAACUAGUUUCACAAAGAAAGAAAGCUAUACCGGAGCCUUUUUUAAUUAAUUACCAUUUAUAUAUAACUAGAGUUUAAUACAGAAUUGCAAAACUUGAUAAAAACGUUUAAUACAGAAUUGCAAAACUUGAUAAAAACAAGAUAAAUUGGUGUGGUUCAGCCUUCAUCUUCGGUUGGAUUCUCGUCUGCUUUCUCUUUGGAUUGGAGGUCCUUGAGAACGAAUCCCGGCACCACGAAAUUUGCGAUCCAAUAUGCUACUAGGCAUACGCCGCUGCCAGUGCCAUGAAGCAUUGGUUAGUUAUAUUAGUAUGCAUUGACGCUGUCUUUGAAUUUCUUUAUUUACUUAUGUAAUUUAUCAAAAAAAAAAAAAAGAUUGAGUAAAGGUUCUGACCCUGUCUGAAGAAGAACCGACAACUUGGCAGCGGGCGGGGCAGUAGCCGCGACAAAAAUACAAGGUAGCGCCGCCCUGCUGGUUAAGGAGAAGCCGUUGCCGUUGAGUUGCAGUCGACGAGGCCAGAUUGUGUGUUUGUUUGUGAGUGACAAUGGUGGAGAUGGAGGGUUGAUGAUGCACUUCAUCCUUCAAUAUAUGUGGAUAAUGCUAUCAACUAUUAACCAAUCAUAUACACAAUUGGACGAUGACACAAUUAAUACACAAUAGGCAGAAACAAAC